rnacentral:rRNA from 1 species
CCUACGGGUGGCUGCAGUAAGGAAUAUUGGUCAAUGGACGCAAGUCUGAACCAGCCAUGCCGCGUGGAGGAUGAAGGUCCUCUGGAUUGUAAACUUCUUUUAUUUGGGAAGAAACUCCCGAUUUCCAUCGGGAUUGACGGUACCAGAUGAAUAAGCACCGGCUAACUCCGUGCCAGCCGCCGCGGUAAUACGGAGGGUGCAAGCGUUACUCGGAUGCACGGGGUUUAAAGUGUGCGUAGGUGGCCAGGGUGAAAUCUCCGGGCUUAACCCGGAAAAUGCCAUUGAUACUAUUUGUCUUGAAUACUCUGGAGGUGAGCGGAAUAUGUCAUGUAGCGGUGAAAUGCUUAGAUAUGACAUAGAACACCCAUUGCGAAGGCAGCUCACUACGGAAAUAUUGACGCUGAGGCACGAAAGCGUGGGGAUCAAACAGGAUUAGAUACCCUGGUAGUA